rnacentral:lncRNA from 10 species
GGCACCCCCAGUCUUUCCAUCCUCCUCAUUCGACUAGGGGCACCCGAAUCCCCUAUUCCUUAUUUCCCCUAUCACUCAGGCACUGGCAGGGUCCUUUGCCCACUCCUGUUGGCCGCUGCGGCUCCAAAGCGAGCUGGGCAGAUGUGCCUGAGACAGGUUUGACCAGGCAACUGAAAAGACAUCCCUAAGAGAAGACAAAGCAAAGGUAUGAAAGGAACACACAUCCCUGACUGACUAGGAGGAACAGAGCUGCCUGCUGUCUGGAACCGCUUCCUCCAAGACUAAGGUUUCCCAGAGGAAGAGAGAGAAUUUGGACAAAUGAAUGAGGAACAAUGCUCUCCUGAGAGUUUCUUUAAGGGGCGAGAAUCACUGCCGCUAGCUCCUUUGAAAGCAGAAUUAAGAGGCAGUGCAGGAAGGCACAGCAGGAAGGCUCAUGGUUAGACUACAGAGAAGGAAGCAGCCACUGCUGGGGACCUACCCUGUGCUGGUCACUGACAAGCUGUCUCAUUAAACCUUUCCGGACCCUCAACCCCUCCUAGUAUCUUAUCCUCAUUUUAUAGAUGAGAAGACUGUGGCCCAGAGAGGUCCAACGCCAGUGGGAUCAGCUUCGAUGGGAUGCACACAGACUGACCUCUUCUCCCCAGCCCCUUCAAUUUCCCAGAGCUGCAGGGGGCCUGGGAGUUCUUGGUAACAGCACAUUAAACCUCUGUUUGUGGGAA